rnacentral:rRNA from 1 species
UACAGAGGUCUCAAGCGUUGUUCGGAUUCAUUGGGCGUAAAGGGUGCGUAGGCGGCGCGGUAAGUCGGGUGUGAAAUCUCGGAGCUUAAACUCCGAAACUGCAUUCGAUACUGCCGUGCUUGAGGACUGGAGAGGAGACUGGAAUUUACGGUGUAGCGGUGAAAUGCGUAGAUAUCGUAAGGAAGACCAGUGGCGAAGGCGGGUCUCUGGACAGUUCCUGACGCUGAGGCACGAAGGUCAGGGGGAGCAAACGGG